GAUGAACGCUGGCGGCGUGCCUAAUACAUGCAAGUCGAGCGAACAGACGAGGAGCUUGCUCCUCUGAAGUUAGCGGCGGACGGGUGAGUAACACGUGGAUAACCUUCCUCUAAGACUGGGAUAACGUCGGGAAGCCGGAGCUAAUACCGGAUCAUAUAAUGAACUGCAUGGUUCAAUAGUGAAAGACGGUUUUGCUGUCACCUAUAGCUUGAUCCGCUCCGCAUUAGCUAGUUGGGAAGGUAACGGCUUACCAAGGCAACGAUGCGUAGCCCACGGGAGAGGGUGAUAGGCGACAUGGGAGCUUAGACGCGGACAAGGCGCCUGCGGGACGCAGCAGAAGGGUAUCUGCCGCAAUGGGCGAAAGCAUGACGGAGCGACGCCACGUGAGUUGUGGAGAUCUUCGGUUCGUAAAACUCUGUUAUUAGUGAAAAACAAAUGUGUAAGUGACUAUGCACUUCGUGACGGUACCUGUACAAAAAGCCACGGCUAACUACGUG
rnacentral:rRNA from 1 species